UAGGGAAUCUUCCGCAAUGGGCGAAAGCUUGCCGGAGCAACGCCGCGGGAGUGAUGAAGGUCUUCGGAUCGUAAAACUCUGUUAUUAGGGAAGAACAAAUGUGUAAGUAACUAUGCACGUCUUGACGGUACCUAAUCAGAAAGCCACGGCUAACUACGUGCCAGCAGCCGCGGUAAUACGUAGGUGGCAAGCGUUAUCCGGAAUUAUUGGGCGUAAAGCGCGCGUAGGCGGUUUUUUAAGUCUGAUGUGAAAGCCCACGGCUCAACCGUGGAGGGUCAUUGGAAACUGGAAAACUUGAGUGCAGAAGAGGAAAGUGGAAUUCCAUGUGUAGCGGUGAAAUGCGCAGAGAUAUGGAGGAACACCAGUGGCGAAGGCGACUUUCUGGUCUGUAACUGACGCUGAUGUGCGAAAGCGUGGGGAUCAAACAGG
rnacentral:rRNA from 1 species